rnacentral:rRNA from 1 species
UUAAGUAAGAAAGGGCGUACGGUGGAUGCCUAGGCACUUGAAACUGAAGAAGGACGCAACAAACGGCGAAACGCGGCGGGGAGCUGUACGUAAGCAAAGAUCCGCCGGUAUCCGAAUGGGGGAACCCGGCAUGCGUAAUAGCGUGUCAUCCGCAGAUGAACAAAUAGUCUGCGAGAGAGGUACCCGGGGAACUGAAACAUCUAAGUACCCGGAGGAAAAGAAAACAACAGUGAUUCCCUGAGUAGCGGCGAGCGAAAGGGGAGGAGCCCAAACCAGACCGAGGUCUGGGGUUGAAGGACCGCGAUACGGCAAGAAUCAUGGUAGGAGAACGGCAUUGAAAGGCCGACCGGAGAGGGUGCAAGUCCCGUAUCCGAAACCGUGAGGAAGCCCAGCGGGAUCCUGAGUACGGCGAGACACGAGAAAUCUUGUCGGAAGCAGGCGGGACCAUCCGUCAAGGCUAAAUAUAAGCAAGUGACCGAUAGUGAACCAGUACCGUGAGGGAAAGGUGAAAAGAACCGCGGGAGCGGAGUGAAAUAGAACCUGAAACCGUAUGCUUACAAGAAGUCAGAGCACGUUAAGGUGUGAUGGCGUGCCUUUUGUAGAAUGAACCGGCGAGUUAUGUUAUCGUGCGAGGUUAAGCAGGAGAUGCGGAGCCGAAGCGAAAGCGAGUCUUAAUAGGGCGGCAGUACGAUGACAUAGACCCGAAACCGUGUGAUCUAGCCAUGACCAGGUUGAAGUUCAGGUGAAACUGAAUGGAGGACCGAACCGACCCCCGUUGAAAAGUUGGCGGAUGAGUUGUGGCUAGGGGAGAAAUUCCAAUCGAACACGGAUAUAGCUGGUUCUCCCCGAAAUAGCUUUAGGGCUAGCGUCGAGGAUGAGUCUUGUGGAGGUAGAGCACUGAAUGUACGAUGGCCCCAUCCCGGGGUACUGAGUAUAAUCAAACUCCGAAUGCCAUGAGAUAUUCCCGGCAGUCAGACCGUGGGUGAUAAGGUCCAUGGUCAAAAGGGAAACAGCCCAGACCGCCAGUUAAGGUCCCAAAAUGUAUGCUAAGUGGAAAAGGAUGUGGGGAUGCACAGACAACUAGGAGGUUGGCUCAGAAGCAGCCAUCCUUCAAAGAGUGCGUAACAGCUCACUAGUCGAGUGACCCUGCGCCGAAAAUGUACCGGGGCUAAGCAUACUACCGAAGCUGCGGAUUUGUAGUAAUACAAGUGGUAGGGGAGCGUUCCAUGCACGUGGAAGCCAUACCGUAAGGAGUGGUGGAGAGCAUGGAAGUGAGAAUGCCGGUGUGAGUAGCGAGAUGCAGGUGAGAAUCCUGCACACCGAUAGCCCAAGGAUUCCAGGGGAAGGUUCGUCCGCCCUGGGUAAGUCGGGACCUAAGGCGAGGCCGAAAGGCGUAGUCGAUGGAAAACAGGCAGAUAUUCCUGUACCCGCGAUGGAAAUGAAGGAAUGACGGAGAAGGCUAGCAUGAGCCACUUAUUGGAUUGUGGUCGAAGCGAAUAGCAGGUGCACAGUAAAAUGCGUGCACGGGAUGUAAAACGUGACAGGUAAGCGAAACCCCUGGGGAGUAGCGAAGCAUGCGAGGCCAGCUUCCAGGAAAAGUUUCUAGUGCUAAUUCCAUAGCGGCCCGUACCAAAACCGACACAGGUGGGCAAGGAGAGUAUCCUGAGGUGAGCGAGAGAACUGUUGCCAAGGAACUCGGCAAAAUGACUCCGUAAGUUAGCGAGAAGGAGUGCUUAUGAAAGUAAGCCGCAGUGAAGAGGCCCAAGCGACUGUUUAACUAAAACACAGCUCUCUGCAAAGUCGCAAGACGAAGUAUAGGGGGUGACGCCUGCCCGGUGCUGGAAGGUUAAGAGGAUUUGUCAGUUUCGACGAAGCAAUGAAUUGAAGCCCCAGUGAACGGCGGCCGUAACUAUAACGGUCCUAAGGUAGCGAAAUUCCUUGUCAGGUAAG